UUCCGGUUGAUCCCGCCGAAGGCUACUGCUAUUGGAGUUCGAUUAAACCAUGCGAGUCUAAGGGGUACUUGUACCCCUGGCAUAAUGCUCAGUAACACGUGGAUAAUCUACCCUCAGGUGGGGCAUAAACCCGGGAAACUGGGGCUAAUUCCCCAUAGACACAGAUAACUGGAAUGUUUUUGUGUUCAAAGCUCCGGCGCCUGAGGAUGAGUCUGCGGCCUAUCAGGUUGUAGUCAGGGUCAUGACCUGACUAGCCAGCGACGGGUACGGGGUGUGAGAGCACUCGCCCGGAGAUGGUUUCUGAGACACGAAACCAGGCCCUACGGGGCGCAGCAGGUGCGAAAACUUCGCAAUGCGGGAAACCGUGACGAGGGAACUCCAAGUGUCUAUGCAUUGCAUAGACUGUUUUUUAGCCUAAAUAGCUAUUAGAGUAAGGGGUGGGUAAGACCGGUGCCAGCCGCCGCGGGUAACACCGGCACCCCCAGUGGUAGCCACUAUUAUUGG
rnacentral:rRNA from 1 species